CCUACGGGUGGCAGCAGUGGGGAAUAUUGCACAAUGGGGGAAACCCUGAUGCAGCGACGCCGCGUGAGUGAAGAAGUAAUUCGUUAUGUAAAGCUCUAUCAGCAGGGAAGAAAAUGACGGUACCUGAGUAAGAAGCCCCGGCUAACUACGUGCCAGCAGCCGCGGUAAUACGUAGGGAGCAAGCGUUAUCCGGAUUUACUGGGGGUAAAGGGAGCGUAGGCGGCAGGGCAAGUCUGGUGUGAAAGGCCGGGGCUCAACCCCCGGACUGCACUGGAAACUGGCCGGCUGGAGUGCAGGAGAGGUAAGUGGAAUUCCUAGUGUAGCGGUGAAAUGCGUAGAUAUUAGGAGGAACACCAGUGGCGAAGGCGGCUUGCUGGACUGUAACUGACGUUGAGGCUCGAAAGCGUGGGGAGCAAACAGGAUUAGAUACCCUGGUAGUC
rnacentral:rRNA from 1 species